UUUUUAAAAAAUAUAUUUUUAUUGAUGAUUCGCUGCACUGAGCCUUAGCUGAGUCAUGUGAGAUCGUUCAUUGCUGUACAUGGAUCCUCUAGCAUGGCUCAGUAGUUGGAGCAGGCGGACCUAGUUGCUCCGAGGCGUGUGGGAUCUUAGUUCCUGGACCAGGCAUUGAACCAGCCUCCCCUGCAUUGCAAGAUGGAUUCUUCACUACUGAGCCACCAGCGAAGUCCCUCUUGACACAUUGUGAAAAAUUUGGGGGCUAUGUGUUACUUAUUUAAGAUUUGGGGCAUUAGGUGAGAUCAAGAUUUUUGCAUUACUGCAGUUCAAAGGAGCAUAAUUCAGUUUCAGAUAAAAUGCCACUCAGGAAUUUGCCCCCAAAGAGAGGAAAUGCAGGUAAUUUUUUAACAACGUGACUGAGAUAUACUUGACAGACCAUAAAAACCUAUUGCUAGCUUACAGCUUAAUGAUUUUAAUAAAUCUGGGUCAUGCAGCCCUCACGACAGUCCAGUUUUACAACCGUCCCCUCACACCACAAAUGCAAAUGGUGGCUGGGUUUUCUGGCAAAAUCCAUACCCAGGUCAGCAUUCCAACCCCCGCAAACCAGUUCCAGGAAAGGCCAGUUCAGCUCGUCAAGUGUCCGGUGCACCCACAGCUAUCUGGCCUUCCUUCCUCUCCCCCUGCCUCCAGAGGCAGGGCCUUGGCCUGUCCUGUCUCUUGGACACACAUUUCCCUCUCCACCUGGUGGUGCGGGAGGCCAGUCAGAGCUGAAGGCAGAUGCUGCUUUCUGGGGCCCUGGGCUUUGACAGGUCCCAGAGCUAGCCCAGUGUGUGGAAGCCUUCUGUCCCAGGCCCUUCAGUCUGCUUCUGCCCUGGAUAGAGGCUGUGUCCUAUGGCCCUAACCUGAUGCACCAAAGCUGGGCUCCCAGACCUGCUCUCCCUGGCACCUGGGGGGCCCUGUGGUGCCAUUGGGCGUUUCCCAUGGGAGUGGAGCUCAGUAACUCUUCCCCCUUCUCCAUGGGUCUGCCUUACCUCCUGGCCCAGUUUGUCUUACUCGCUCAGCCAGUAAAGGUGGUCCAGGCUCUUGGGCGUCCUGGUGGACUUGCUCUCUGUGGUCUCCAUAAGCUACAGGAAGUCCCUCUUCCCUUGUCUGCUGGGGAGGGUAUGGAUGUUUCUCUACCUUGUUCGUUUAAAUAUUCCAAAGUCUUAGAAGCAUACCUGACCCAUAACAGACAUUAAUCAAAAUGUAAACUCCCAUGGAUUUGGAGUUUUAUAGGAGCCCCCUUGCAAAGGGGGCCCCCCUUGUAAAGGGCAGGAAUGUUAUCAGUUCCUGUCCAUCCAGAUGACUGUGCAGACGCUGGGGGAAUGGGUCCCAUUUGAUCUAGGAGCCCCAUGGACAGCAAAGACAUCUGACCAGUCCAUCCUAGAGGAGAUCAGUCCUGGUACUUCGGCCACCUGAUGCAAAGAGCUGACUCAUUUGAAAAGAACCUAAUGCUGGGAAAGAUUGAGGGCAGGAGGAGAAGGGGACGACAGAGGAUGAGAUGGCUGGAUGGCAUCACCGACUCGAUGGACAUGAGUUUGAGCCAACUCUGGGAGACAGUGGAAGACAGGGAGGCCUGGUGUGUUGCAGUCCAUGGGGUCGCAAAGAGUCAGAAACAACUGGGUGACUGAACAACAACAAAGCCCCUUAUAGACAAUUGGGUCUCCUUUCUCUGAAGAGCCCUGGUGGACCAGACUGUCUGAGGAGCUGGUCCGCCCUUCCACAGAACUCCCCACAACCCUCCCUUGUUCCUCAGCUCAGGUAAGUCUUUUCAGGUGGGUCAGUUCCCUCAACUGGACCCAAGUUCCCAACUGAGCCAGCCCAUUUGGGCAGCUGCUUCCACCACUGUAAAGCGUCUGCCGACAAUGCGGGAGACCUGGGUUCAGUCCCUGGGUCGGGAAGCUCUCCUGGAGAAGGAAACAGCAACCCACUCCAGUAUUCUUGCCUGGAAAAUCCCAUGGACGGAGGAGUCUGGUGAGCUACAGUCCAUGGGGUAGCCAAAAUUCAGACACAAUUGAGCGACUUCACUUUCACUUCUCCUUUUUGGGCUGGGAUCUCCCAGCCCUUUGGAUCCCCCAAAGCUAGCCCCCACCAAACAGGUCUCCCUAGUCCCACUGUCCCAGCUUUCUGGGGGGGAUCACCUGAUCACAUGGCCCCACAAGUUCUCUCAGUUCUGUAGCCAGCUUGAGUUUUGGUCUCUUUUCUCUUUUCCUCCUUGCAGCGUGUCCCAGGCCUCUUCCCUUCUUCAAUACUGGGAAAUGCAUUGUCGGCCCCACUGCUAUGAGCCCCGAAGUGACACUGCUGUGCUUGUCCACGCUAGAUCCAUUCUACAAGAGGCCAUUCUGGGCCCAAGGGCUGAAUCAACAGUCCCAGAGACCCUCCCCUGCUCUCGAAGCCACUCCAGACUGAGUUUGGGACGGCCCAGGUAGGAGAUCCCUGGGCGUCAAUAGGCGGUGGGGGCGCGGCGGGUACGGGGGCGCUGUGGGCGGGCUUAGGGGCAGGGCCGAGGGUGCUGACCUACUGAGGGCUGCUCUCAGGGGCUGGGCGGGGCCGAGGACAGUGCUGGGGGCGGGGCCCGGCCGGGGCGGGCCUGAGGUUGGGUUCUGAUUGGGUCG
ensembl:lncRNA